rnacentral:lncRNA from 7 species
CCUUUGUGCUCUGCUGGCAGCCUGUGUACACCAGAAUGGGAGAGAAGGAGCCUCCCUCAGCCUACGGACCAGGGCUGCCCUGUAAGUCAGGGAUUGGCCGUGCCUUGGAGUCCCAGGCCCUUUGCAAUGGAGGCAGCGUCAGGGGACCCCUGUAAGCAGGGAAGUUGACCCUUUGGCUGCUGCUUUUUGUGUGCCCAGCUCCAUUUGCCCAGUCUGCCCGCCUCCGUGACCCUCCGCAGCACCGGCUGGAGCUCCGCAGCGCAUGAGCAUGGAGCUGCUGCAGAAGAAAGAAGCAGCGUGUGGAACUGGAAGGCUACAGCGAGCAAGAGGAGGAAGCGGAAGCCUGUGGAUGGGGGGAAAGAGAGAGGCUCUCUGGGCAAAAGCACUCCCUGUUAGCGGGGACACAGUCAUGUUUCGGUAGAGCGCUGCCGGCACUUGGGUGACCAGGCCGGGUUUGUGCUGGGCGACCUCCCUGUAAGCAGGGCUCGGGUCUUUGCUGUAGCUGGCCUUUUGCCUUGUUGCUCCUUUGGCUGCCUGGGGAGCGUGGCCCCCGUACGGAGGGCGAGAGCCACCUCUCCGCACCUGAGUGGGAAAUGGAGCUCGCCGUACCCCACGGCCACCCUGUAAGCAGGGUAGGUGCCGUUUCCCUGCCCCUCUUCUCCCGGCCCC